AAACCAACAGGGAUUGCCUUAGUAGCGGCGAGUGAAGCGGCAAGAGCUCAAAUUUGAAAUCUGGUACCUUCGGUGCCCGAGUUGUAAUUUGAAGAAAGCUAUCUUGGAGGUGGCCUUUGUCUAUGUUCCUUGGAACAGGACGUCAUGGAGGGUGAGAAUCCCGUGUGAUGAGGUGUCCAUUUCCGUGUAAGAUGCUUUCGAAGAGUCGAGUUGUUUGGGAAUGCAGCUCAAAGUGGGUGGUAAAUUCCAUCUAAAGCUAAAUAUUGGCGAGAGACCGAUAGCGAACAAGUACUGUGAAGGAAAGAUGAAAAGAACUUUGAAAAGAGAGUGAAAAAGUACGUGAAAUUGUUGAAAGGGAAGGGUAUUUGAUCAGACUUGGUAUUUAGCUAUCAUCGCUCCUUGUGGGUGGUGCUCUAGCUUUUUACUGGGCCAGCAUCAGUUUUGGUGGCAAGAUAAUGACAGUUGAAUGUGGCUCCUCGGAGUGUUAUAGCUUCUGUUGAUGUUGCCUACCGAGACUGAGGUCUGCGGCUUUUGCCUAGGAUGCUGGCGUAAUGAUCCAAUACCG
rnacentral:rRNA from 1 species